rnacentral:rRNA from 1 species
GACAGAGGGGGCAAGCGUUGCUCGGAAUUACUGGGCGUAAAGGGCGCGUAGGCGGGAUGGCAAGUCGGUCGUGAAAUCCCUCGGCUCAACCGAGGAACGUCGAUCGAUACUGCUGUUCUUGAGGAUUGCAGAGGAGACUGGAAUUCCCGGUGUAGCGGUGAAAUGUGUAGAGAUCGGGAGGAACACCAGCGGCGAAGGCGGCGCUCUGGGCCGGUACUGACACUGAGGAGCGAAAGCGUGGGUAGCAAACAGG